AUACGUUCUCUCGUUGCCGGACGCCGAGGGGUAUCUAACUUGCCGCCCUUAUGAGUGAAGCUACCCUGAACACUCGCGGACACAUUCUUUUGUGAACAUAUGCUGUCACCAUUCGGGCUGUUCCGUAUCUCCUUUUCCUUUGUUCCUAACACCGUGUAUCCCAGAGGACUCAUCACUGUGAACUCCUUGAUGUGUCUCACUUGCAUCAUUUGUGGGUAGAGAAUAAAGAGAGGAAACUGAUUUGGACCCUUACAGCCUGAGCCCCAGCCGGACGGACAGACGGACGCCUGAGUUCCCAGCAGCCCCCGGGCUGGAUGCACCAAGGCCACCCGGGAGCCGGUCCUUCCCGGCCUGCACGGAGCCCCUGCUCGGACCUGUCAGGCAGCUGUCACCCCAAACCUCCGCCCCGCUGGGGGCCACGCUUCUCUUACCAUUUGACUCACGUGGCCUGUGCUUCCUGAGCCACGGUCCCCGGCCAAUGUGCGGGCAGGCCACAGGUUCGGCACAGUCUGCGCGUGGCACGGGGAGCCGGGUGCCCACACUCGCUAGAGGCGGAACCCCCGUGGGCGCCGCGGAGGGAAGGUCUGGGAGCUGAGCGCCAGGGCUCGGGCGCAGUUUGCCCGCUUCCUGGCCUGGUCCGGGCCGUCAGUCCCGCCUGGCACGCGGACUACCUACCUACCCAAGGGUAAAGCCCGUCUCAGCUGUGACACACCUCUGCGCGUGGUAAUGGCAAUAGCUGGUCGUGACGGCUGCUAUAGAGGGACCGGUACUUUA